rnacentral:lncRNA from 1 species
GUGAUUAUGAAUAUGUACCUCCGAUCAGCUCACAUCGGCCCGGAACCGAGGAGGUCUUUUCAACUUUGAAAUUGCAUUCAAGGAUACAUGACGGAGGAAAGAAUUCUUCGAGGAGUGGCUCUGUCGCUAGUUGUUCACCGGCCAGCUUAGAUGAGGAAGUUUUUUCCUUAUGCGGCAUAGUUUUGGAUAUUUUUGCUAUUUUGAGUUUGAGUUUAAUGAAAGAAGAAGAAAAUAAUACUUGGCAUUUUGCG